CAUCUUCUUCUUCUUCUUCUUCCUCCUUCUUCCUGGUCUCGAACCAGAACAUUCCCCGGAAGGGAGAUACCGGACGCCCAGAAUCUCUUUCCUGACUUCCCAAGUUCUGAACCCGUUGGCAGCUUUGGAGGGUAGAGAGGGAGGGAGGGAGUGGACGAAGAUGCUCGAAGAAUGUGGAGGGAGAUCGAGAAGAGAGAAUCGGGCGGAAUCCGCCCACGUUCCUUCGCGAACCGGGUCAAAUCCAGCCGCGUUGCGUCUCUCCACCUCUCCAACCACAAGGACAUUGUCUCCCCCCACAAGGGCUCCGUCAACUCUCUUCAGGUCGAUUUGACGGAGGGCCGCUAUCUGUUGUCUGGCGCCUCGGAUGCAUCGGCCGCGGUUUAUGAUGUCCAACAACCACAAAAGCUCGAGGGAGGCGGGCUGAUCGCAAAGCACAAACCUAUCUUUGUCGUCGAUAAGCAGCACGAGCACCGACAUAAGUAUGCGAUUUCCUCGGCCAUAUGGUACCCCAUCGACACGGGGCUUUUUGUAACCGGCUCAUAUGAUCACUAUAUAAAAGUUUGGGAUACAAAUUCCACGCAGGUGGUGAUGAAUUUCAAAAUGCCUGGGAAGGUUUAUAGUACUUCCAUGUCCUCAUUGGCAACGUCUCACAUGCUAAUUGCUGCUGGAACUGAAGAUGUUCAAGUCCGACUGUGUGAUAUUGCCUCAGGUGCAUUUGCUCACACAUUGUCUGGUCACCGAGCAGAUGGAGUAAUGACAGUCCAGUGGUCUAAUUCUAGUGAGUAUGUCCUGGUAACCGGAGGGUGCGAUGGUGCAAUACGCUUUUGGGAUAUCAGACGUGCAGGAUGCUUUCGUGUCUUAGAUCAAUCUCACUCUCAACUUGGAAGGCGGCCACCUCUUUUGGAGCGCUCUGCAAUGACGAAGGGUUCAACUUCUAGAUCAUUGUCAGGAGGCCAAAAUACGUCAAAAGCGGCAGCAGUGUCAAGGAAAUCUUCCCAUGGAAAUGGUUCCAAGCAUUCAAAUUCAAAUAGAAUUUCUGCGAAGGGAGCUAUCAAACAGAGGUUACAUCCAGGAAUGUUGUCUGGUCAGGAUCGUGCUACUGCUCAUUAUGGUGCUGUCACUGGGUUAAAAAUAUCAGAAGAUGGCAUGUACCUCUUUAGUGCAGGCUCUGAUUCAAGAUUACGACUAUGGGACAUUGAAUCAGGCUGCAACACGCUUGUAAACUUUGAAACAGUGCGCCUGCAGACGAACAAGCCCAUACAGCUGUCAGUGUCCGAGGAUUCCGCACUUGUUUUUGUCCCAUGCAUGACAGUGGUGAAAGCAUUUGAUUUCUGGUCGGGGAAGACAUGCUUCACAUUUCGGGGCCACUAUGAGUAUGUGAACUGCUGCUGUUAUAGUGCACAGGAUCAGGAAUUAUACACCGGUGGCAAUGAUAGACAGAUACUUGUGUGGUCACCAUUCAUCUCUUAUGAAGCGGAUGAAGGAACUACAAGGAACGAGGACUCAUGGAGCGAUUGACGUGCAUUUCUCCUCUACCUACAUUUGUAAUGACCACUUCUGUGCAAUAAAGCCCAUUCUUUCUCUAUUUCGAGGCAGGACAAUAAGCUUGUCAAAAGUAGAAACAUUUGUUACUCGCUCGGUGAUCUCAUUUCAACAAUGAAUAUAUAUGCCAACAUCAUCUUCCGGAGA